rnacentral:rRNA from 1 species
UACGUAGGGGGCAAGCGUUGUCCGGAUUUAUUGGGCGUUAAAGCGGCGUGUAGGCGGCUGGGUAGGUCCGCUGUGAAAACUCGGAGCUCAACCUCGAGACGUCGGCGGAACCAUCCAGCUAGAGUCCGGAAGAGGAGAGUGGAAUUCCUGGUGUAGCGGUGAAAUGCGCAGAUAUCAGGAAGAACACCCGUGGCGAAAGCGGCUCUCUGGGACGGUACUGACGCUGAGACGCGAAAGCGUGGGGAGCGAACAGG